rnacentral:rRNA from 1 species
CGCAGCCAGCGAGUUUAAACCUUUUCCGAAAGGAAUGGGUAAUCUUGUUAAACUGCGUCGUGCUGGGGAUAGAGCUUUGCAAUUUUUGCUCUUGAACGAGGAAUUCCUAGUAAGCGCAAGUCAUCAACUUGCGUUGAUUACGUCCCUGCCCUUUGUACACACCGCCCGUCGUUACUACCGAUUGAAUGGCUUAGUGAGAUCCUAGGAGAGUUUGUGCAUGAGGGCAACCUCUAGCGCGAGUUCAAAUUCGAUCAAACUUGGUCAUUUAGAGGAAGUACAAGUCGUAACAAGGUUUCCGUAGGUGAACCUGCGGAAGGAUCAUUUCUGAAGGCUACACGCCAACAUUGUGAAACGCACUUUCGGGUGCAUUGAAAGAGUGCUCUCGGGCACACUUUUCUUUUAACUUUUAUUUUUUAAUCUGACAACCAAGAAAAUUUAAAACUUUCAACAACGGAUCUCUUGGUUCUCGCAUCGAUGAAGAACGCAGCAAAGCGCGAUAGGUAAUGCGAAUUGCAGACGUGAGUCAUUGAAUCUUUGAACGCACAUUGCGCUACUGGGCUAUAUGCUCAGUAGCAUGCUUGUUGGAGCGCCGAUCUUUCUCCUCUACCUGUUUCGACAGGCCUGAGGGUUCUGCUCCCACCGGGAGUGAAAGACAUGGAAGUGCACACGUUAGAUAACUCUGUGCAGUUACACUUUUACACUUUUGGCCCCCAAUCAAGCAAGGCUACCCGCUGAACUUAAGCAUAUCAAUAAGCGGAGGAAAAGAAACCAACAGGGAUUGCCCUAGUAACGGCGAGUGAACAGGCAAAAGCUCAGAUUUGAAAGCCUCUCGGGGCAUUGUAUUCUGAAGCCUUGAUUCUGAGAACCGGUACCUAAGUCUUCUGGAAAGGAGCGCCAAGGAGGGUGAUAGCCCCGUACGGUACUGACCUCAUUGUAGAAUCUUGGCGUGGAGUCGAGUUGUUUGGGAAUGCAGCUCAAAUGGGUGGUAUGCUCCAUCUAAAGCUAAAUAUCUGCGAGAGACCGAUAGCGAACAAGUACUGUGAAGGAAAGAUGAAAAGAACUUUGAAAAGAGAGUGAAAAAGUACGUGAAAUUGUUGAAAUGGAAGGAUAGGCCGCUAACCACGUAGAGCCGUGUCUGAGGGGAGGAUAAAAGCUGUAGAAUGUGGCUCUUCGGAGUGUUAUAGCUACAGUGCAUACUCCCACUCGGGCGCGAGGACCUAAGGCUCUGCUAAAUGGUGGUCUAUCACCCGUCUUGAAACACGGACCAAGGAGUCUAUUGCCUGCGCGAGUAUUUGGG